rnacentral:rRNA from 1 species
UGGGGAAUAUUGCACAAUGGGCGAAAGCCUGAUGCAGCAACGCCGCGUGAGUGAUGAAGGCCUUCGGGUUGUAAAGCUCUGUCUUUUGGGACGAUAAUGACGGUACCAAAGGAGGAAGCCACGGCUAACUACGUGCCAGCAGCCGCGGUAAUACGUAGGUGGCAAGCGUUGUCCGGAUUUACUGGGCGUAAAGGAUGCGUAGGCGGAUUUUUAAGUGAGAUGUGAAAACCCUAAGCUUAACUUGGGGACUGCAUUUCAUACUGGAAAUCUAGAGUGCGGGAGAGGAGAAUGGAAUUCCUAGUGUAGCGGUGAAAUGCGUAGAGAUUAGGAAGAACACCAGUGGCGAAGGCGAUUCUCUGGACCGUAACUGACGCUGAGGCAUGAAAGCGUGGGUAGCAAACAGGAUUAGAUACCCUGGUAGUCCACGCCGUAAACGAUGAGUACUAGGUGUAGGAGGUAUCGACCCCUUCUGUGCCGCAGUUAACACAAUAAGUACUCCGCCUGGGAAGUACGAUCGCAAGAUUAAAAACUCAAAUGAAUUGACGGGGUCAUAGCUG